UCAGUCAUGGACAACUCACUCAUAGUUGGACCUACAUUAUCAGUGAAUGCAGGAUGCAUGUCCUCUAGUUCAAGCCUAUCUGUUGUGGUAGACUGUCCGUUGAAAAUGGCAGUGUGGUGAGGUCUCAAGAACACCCUGGCAAUUCCUUCACCAGAGCUGGUCUCCUACCUUGAGUCACAAGAACUUGCCAGGACACCUCCACAUCCUUUUCUGCAUUUCUCUGGCAUUCCCAUUUCCUUUUUUUUCAGUGAAUCUGUGCACCAGUUCUCAAUGCAAUACAAAGGGGGUUUUGUGGAUUCAUUAUUUGUCAACAUCCUGUCUCCCAAUAUGAAUGUGAAGACCAGUGAGACCAAACUACUGAAUUACUGACACCAGUGAAUGGACAAAAUCAGAGUUUGGUCCAAGCUCUCAUCAAGUGUUUGAUCUGGAUCUGGCAAGCUUUCAGGAUUUGGCUGUACAAUCCACUAAAAUGAAUGUUUGUCUGAGAUUAUCCUACAGGAUGUGUCUCAUGGUUACAGGAUGAGCUGCGGUUUACAUCCUCUUGCAGCCCCUGUCCAGUGCAUCCUCUUGCAGCCCCUCUCUCCAGUGUGGAACCAUAUGGUCCUACUGCUUUUAAACAAGGGAUGUGCAUCCCAAUCUACUGCUUGUGAAAAAAUGACAAGCCCAAUUUAUUCUGUGCCUACAAGACCUUUUCCCUCCAGGAGCCUGUGACCGGCGGCUGAGUAUUGACUCAAAACAGCUUCUUCAACACAAAGGUGCACCCAAAGCCAAGAAGUAAAGGAAAUCUGAGGACAAUGUUCAGAAAGAAAUCCAAGCCGGUGUGGACCCGACCUGAACCAGGCUGGCCAGCACUGUCUGUGAUUUGGGGUGUGUGAGAUAAGUGAGGGGGGGGAGAUAACCCCCAUUUAUGAACACUCAGGCAGCCAGUU